AGUUCAAUGCGAAAGCUCACUGAGGAACUUGAUGCUCAGAUACUUUCACGACGGGGAAAGUCUGAGAAUGUUGAGGGCCGCUCCACCUCCGGCCCUCCCACGAACAGGCAGGCAAGCUGGGACGACA
rnacentral:ribozyme from 1 species